rnacentral:rRNA from 1 species
UACAGAGGGUGCGAGCGUUAAUCGGAAUUACUGGGCGUAAAGGGCGCGUAGGCGGUUAUUUAAGUUAGAUGUGAAAUCCCUGGGCUUAACCUAGGAAUGGCAUCUGAUACUGGAUGGCUGGAGUGCGGUAGAGGGUAGUGGAAUUUCCGGUGUAGCGGUGAAAUGCGUAGAUAUCGGGAGGAACACCAGUGGCGAAGGCGGCUACCUGGACUGACACUGACGCUGAGGCGCGAGAGCGUGGGGAGCAAACAGG